rnacentral:lncRNA from 1 species
AGAGGGAGGAGUUAAGGAGACAGACAGAGAGAGAGAGAGAUCUGAGGAGAAGAGGGAGAACCAAAAUGGAGGCUGACGUGGUGUUAUCAAAGUGGAGUGACCAGGGCUGACAGGUAUUCUGACAUCUGCUCCCUGAGAGGUGACGUGGGAAGUCCUGCACUGUGAGUCCAUUGAGUAGGACACACCCAGGCCUCUUCUUUUCUCCAGGAUAUGUGCAAGAUGAGAGCCAGCCAUCGUCUCCUGAUAGUGGAGAUUUGAUCUGAAGCAUUCAAAUAGGAAAUGAAUGCUCAGAGGAAGCUUCAAAUUUCUUUCUACUUGAAGAAGCUGAAUUGCAGAAGCUAUCUCUGUCCUGUUAAUCACCGGGUCCACAGUGAAACCAGCCAACUUCAGAGAGUGAGUUAAAAGAGAGACUCUUGUGCUGCGUGACCCCUGACUGUAACCAAGUGUCCUUCUCUCUGAGACGUUCCCUCGGAGCUUGUUCUCACAGCCCUCACCUCCAGUGACCUCCACGAACUUUUCCACACGAGGGGUUCUCUGCUUCCCUCCAUCUGAGCUGCGCAAUUCCACCAGGCCUUUUGCUCCUCUUCAGUCAGGUGCUUUGGAGGUAAUGAAGUCUUUCGGGGGAAAAAUAAACAAAGGAAAUGCACCCGGUUGAUGUCAAUGGACUUGUUUAACUAUUUAAGGCCACUGUCUCCAAGUGUAAGUGUGCUGCGGUGUGUUUUGUAAAGUAGCGCUUAUAAUCCACUGAGCUUUCCAAACAGCCCUCUUGCCUAUUAAGCCUGCAUUGAGAAGUGGGUUUAAUUUGCCAGAGUAGUUUUUUGUGAUAAUUACAGGACUUGCAGAUUAGCUUGAGUGACUUGGCAAGGUUCUGUAGCUAAUAAAAAAUCACACAGGAAAAAAAUUGUAACAUUCAAUUGCUUCAAGGUUCUUCACGAGAGAAACAUUAAACAAACCUGAUAGGCCAGUUUCCAGUCUGUGAAGGGACUUGGAGGCAAGCCGGGAGAGAGGGAGGAGAAAGAGAUCGCCAUGAUGGGGAAGAAGGAAGAGGAGACCUAAAGGCCAGCUGACAUCAGGACUUUGGGUCCCUAACCUGCAACUCAGCACUCAGUCCAUCAUGGGCUUUGCUAGUCUCUGUGACUUCUCCAGGGCAGGAAAGUGACAGGUUUCUGCGCAAGGGAGCCCGAGGUACCUGGUUCAGGAUGGAGAGGGCACUUGAGAGGCGUCAAAAGCAAGCACAGUUAGAGGACAUCAGCGAUGUUAAAACCCCACGAGGGUCAACAGUAGCCCAGGCAAAAUAAAGGAGCCUGAAGUGGAAAAACAGAAAUGGAACAAGACGUUUGUUCUGGAGCACGUGAGAUUGUCCUUCUAAGACAUUUCCAGAAGUAUUCAAAGGAAGAUUUAAUGGGAAAUCAUUAUGCAAAAGAGUCAGUAAUAUAUUUUAGUUUCAAAAAGUACGGAGCGUGACGCCUGUCAAUUAUACCUUCUGCAAAGGUGAGUGGCGGUUGUCCUUGCUGUUCCAAAAUGCAAAGAGAAACAAACAAACAAACAAACAAGCAAACCAGCUACUCCUAUUCCGCACUCCAAACACCAAGCAGAAAUGCUUCUGGGACAAACUGAGCUUCAUUCUUUAUGAAAAUGAAAACACUUCUUUCUGUGCACUAGGAAAAUGUUCUGCCUCUGAGCUGCAAAACCAGCACCAAACUUGAAAAGUUUGUGCAUCAAAGGAAAAAGGCAACCUACAGGAUGGGGGAGAAUAUUUGCAGGACACAUGUCCUGGAAGGAAUACAUAUUUAGACUGAAUAAAAUGAGUAAGAGGAGGGAUAGGGAGUUCGUGUUCAAUGUUGAGAGCUUGGGACAGUUGAGAAAACGCUCCGGAGUGUUCUGCAGAUGAAUGAUGGUGACGACUGCAUCAGUGUGAAUGUCCUUAACGCCGUCAAAAAUUGGUUAUAAUGGCAAAUUUUAUGCUACAUAUGUUUUACUACAAUAAAAAUGCCAGGAAAAUCUAACUGCUCCAAAUCCUGAAUUUAUUAACCCAAUAAAUUAGGAGAUGGUUAUUGACCUAUAAAUGGAUUUGUCAAUUUUUAAAAUGAUUUCCUUUAAAUUGAAUUCUUUCCUAGAGCUUUAUUGUCUCUUCACAAACCAUUAAACACUUGUUAAAGUGUUCAGAGAGGGCUGAGAUGGAGGAGGAAGUGAAAACCAAACAAACAGAUGAGGGACCUUCCCCAAAUGAUGUCUGCUAACAGGCUUCUUGGGUAUUCUAUUUAUAUAGAUUUUACAAGUGUUUUAUUUGAGAGGAAAAAUCCCUAGACCUUACAUAGUACAAUGAACUUCUUAUGCCUGUCAGCUAGAUUUAUUAAUUUUUAACGAGGUGUAUUACUUUUAAAAGCUAUCUAUUUACUAUUGGGGGAGGGAGAAGGACAAAGGACAUCUUGCAGAAGUCUGGUCUCUCCUGCUAUGUGGGUUCUGGAGAUAGGAAAUCAGGCAGGUUGUCAGGCCUAGAAGCAAAGGCCUGUCUGCACUGAGCCAUCUUACUUGUCUUAUUUUGUUACUUUUGAUGACCUAUUUUAGACAUCACUAUUCUAUAGCCCUAAGUAUAACUUCAAGUAUGUAUCUUCCACAAUGACUUUAUGACCAUGAAAUCAAUUCAAGAAAUUUAACAUGUAUGCAGUUCUAUCCAGCGUACAUACAGAUUUCUCAUCCCCCCUUUUACUGUAGUUUAUAGAAAAAGCAAUUCUCUUCCAUAUCUAGAGUUUGACAAGGAAUAUGCAUUGCAUUUGGUUUCUGUGUUCUUUAAUCUCUUGUUGUACAGAACUUCAACCUUUCAUGACAGGUUGAACAAUUUUGGAUCAUACAGGCUGUCAUGGUUUGAAUAUGUUUGGCCCAGGGAGUGGUACUGUUAGGGGUGUGGUCUUCUUGGAAUAGGUGUGUCACCGUGGGCGUGGGCUUUAAGACCCUCAUCCUUAGCUUCUGGAAGUCAGUCUUCCACUAGCAACCUUCAGAUGAAGAUGUAGAACUCUCACCAUCUCCUGCACUAUACCUGCCUGGAUAUCGCCAUGUUCCUGCCUUGAUGAUUAUGGACUGAACCUCUGAACCUGUAAGCCAGCCCCAAUUAAAUUUGUCCUUAUAAGAGUUACCUUGGUCAUGGUGUCUGUUCACAGCAGUAAAACCCUAACUAAGACACAGGCCAAUUACAGAAUGUCUCUUUUUGGUGUGUGCAGUGUUAAAGUUUGAAGCACAAGCCUAAUGCUUGUUAGACAAGCACUCUACCGCUGCUCUACAUCAGCAGCUCAGUGUGCCUCUUGUCUUGAUGGGCUCAUUGUUUUUUAUGACCCAGUGCAUUGGGGUGAGCAGCUCACACAGGUACGAAGGGGUCCCUCUCAGAGCUUAACAUCAGGGAACUCAAUGUUGGUUUGUCUGUUCUAUUUCAGCUGAGCUAGUAUCUGGCAGUUCCCCACAACCCCCAUCAAGUUACCACUUUUUUCUUUGUAAUUGUAAUUUGCAAAGAAAUAUUUGCAAGAUUAAGUAAUAGACUACACAACGUGUUUUAGCUUCCACUGAGCAUUCAGCCUGAACUGUUUUAUAAAGUUAUGAAAUGAUAGAUUUCCAACUUAAUAAUUAUUUUAAAGACUUAUUUUAUUUUUAGUUCUGCAUGUAUGCCUGUGUGUGCACGUGUGUACCUAUGUAUCUGUAUGGUUAUGUGCACAUGAAUGCAGAUGUCCAAGGAGAAGAGGCCAGACACAUUGGAUCCCUGGUGCUCAAGUGGGAGGUGGCUGUCAGCUGCUGUAGGAAGGUGAUGGGAACUCAGCUUGAGUCCUUUGCAAGAACAGCAUGAGCUCUUAAACACAGAGCCACAUCUUCAGUCCCUCUCUUAUUUUUUUAAAAAUUAUUCUCUCUCUGUGUAUGUGUGUGUAUACAGAGGUCAGAGGAUCAUUUUUGUAAAAUUAGUUCUCUCUACCUUUUUUUGUGGGCUCUGGGGACUAAACUCAAGUUGUUGGGAUUUUGUGACAAGUGCUGUAUCCACUGAGCCCUCUCACAUGCCCUUAAAUGUUAUUUUAAAUAAUAGCAAAUGAGUACGUUCAAGCAUACGAGAAUAAGCAUGUCCUAUUGAUUUGAAUAUGCAAAAGUAUGCCAAUUUUUUAAAUCUCUAUUACCAAGUGGACAAGUAUUCCAUUUUAUCUCCAAAAGUAAAGAUUUCUUUUAGAUACAGUCAUGUGGAUUAUACAACUUGACUGAAGCCAUGUCUCCAAGAUACAUACCUAGAGGGUAAAGGGAAUGCUUUAAAGGAGCGUGAUUAUGAAUAUCCAAGCUGAAAAUAAACACUAAUUACUAACAAAAAGGAUUACUGAGAAAAAUAUGGGUUGGUUUUCAGUACUUGACUCUGUAAAGUUAUUUCUUUUCUUAUUUAGUUUUUAUUCAUAAUCAUAAACUUAACUUUGCCAUCCAGCUAGACUUGAAGGGGAAUGAGGAAAAUAUGGAACCCAAAGAACUUGAGCAGAGAUUACAGGGUAUUUCAAGCAGAUGGGGUAGGGAUGCUCUCCUGCGCUACAGAAGGAAUGGUUGGAUGGGUAAAAUGCCUGCAAGUCAAAAGAAAUUAGAGUUAUCCACAGUCGGAAAUGGUCUUGCUGGUCUUUCCAUUCCUGGACCCAAAACACUCCAUGGCUUCCACAAUGUUCAUGCCUUCUUUCACCUUCCCAGACACCACAUGCUUGCCAUCCAGCCACUUAGUCUUGGCAGUGCAGAUAAAAAACUGGGAACCGUUUGUGUUGGUCCAGUAUUUGCCAUGGACAAGAUGCCAGGACCUGUAUGCUUCAGGAUGAAGAUCUCAUCCUCAAAUUUCUCUCCAUAGAUGGAUCUGCCGCCAGUGCCAUUAUGGCAUGUAAAGUCACCACCCUGGCACAUGAAUCCUGGAAUAAUUCUGUGAAAGGAGGAACCCUUCUAGUAAAAUCCUUUCUCUCCAGUGCUCAGAGCAUGAAAGUUUCCCGCUGUCUUUGGAACUUUGUCUGCAAACAGCUGGAAGGAGACUCUUCAAGGGCUCGUCAUCGGCCGUGAUGUCAGAGAACACGGUGGGGUCGACUGUGGCUACAGCAAGAGGACCAACGGUACUGUUGCUCUAGCUACAGGAAUAAUCCUGGGCAGCACUUGUUGACCUUGGUCACUGUCAAGGGAAGAUCGGCUGUUCCCACUGAGGGCAUCUUGAUGGAUUAAGGUGAUCAGCUGAUCAAUGUGAGGGGACAGAUGGGAGCUAGGAACUGUCUCGGUACUGAGUCAUUUUUCAUCUAAUGUGCAAGAAACCCAAAGAGCACAUCAAACAGCGAACUACGCCUAAGCUAUCCAUGUUUCUCCUGCUUCUUCUGAGAGGGUGAUUUACACGUAGCUCAACACUCGAGUGUUGCAGUAUCGAGUGACUGCAACCAAACAAUGGAACAUGCAUCGUGCCUGUUGACAGAGCCUGCAGUUGGCUUGGAACCGGGACCAUGCUGCAUUCGACAUCGUUCCUGGUGGCUGACUUGUUCCCAUAGAAUUAAAUGCUAGGCAUCCAGAAGCUGACUGUGCAUCUGAUGGGCUCACUAACAUUCAGGAACAGGUUGGCCUCAGACUUCAUCAAUGGAAAG